rnacentral:rRNA from 1 species
UUAAAUGGCUGCAGUAAUUUGACUGUACAAAGGUAGCAUAAUCAUUAGUUUUUUAAUUAAAAGCUUGAAUGAAAGGUUGGACGAAGUAAAAUCUGUCUCUUUAUAAUAAAAUUAGAAUUUAAUUUUUAAGUUAAAAAGCUUAAAUUUUUAUAAAAGACGAGAAGACCCUAUAGAGUUUAAUAAUUUUAAUAAAAUAAUUAAUUUAGAUUUAUUUAUUUUAUUUUUUUAUAAAUUAUUUUAUUGGGGUAAUAAUAAGAUUUAAAUAAUUCUUUUUUUUUAUAUCAUUAAUUUAUGAAAUAUUUAUGAUCCAUUAUUUUUAUGAUUAUAAGAUUAAAUUACCUUAGGGAUAACAGCGUAAUUUUUUUGGAAAGUUCUUAUUGAUAAAAAAGUUUGCGACCUCGAUGUUGGAUUAAAGAUUAAUUUAGGUGUAGAAGUUUAAAUUUUUGGUCUGUUCGACCAUUAAAUCUUUACAUGAUCUGAGUUCAAACCGGUGUAAACCAGGUCGGUUUCUAU